GAAAAGAAACCAACAGGGAUUGCCCCAGUAACGGCGAGUGAAGCGGCAACAGCUCAAAUUUGAAAUCUGGCCCCCAGGGUCCGAGUUGUAAUUUGUAGAGGAUGCUUUUGGCGCGGCGCCUUCCGAGUUCCCUGGAACGGGACGCCAUAGAGGGUGAGAGCCCCGUCUGGUCGGAUGCCUAGCCUCUGUAAAGCUCCUUCGACGAGUCGAGUAGUUUGGGAAUGCUGCUCUAAAUGGGAGGUAUAUGUCUUCUAAAGCUAAAUAUUGGCCAGAGACCGAUAGCGCACAAGUAGAGUGAUCGAAAGAUGAAAAGCACUUUGAAAAGAGGGUUAAAUAGUACGUGAAAUUGUUGAAAGGGAAGCGUUUGUGACCAGACUUGGGCCCGGUUAAUCAUCCAGCGUUCUCGCUGGUGCACUUUGCCGGCCCAGGCCAGCAUCAGUUCGCCCUGGGGGAUAAAGGUUUCGGGAAUGUGGCUCCCUCGGGAGUGUUAUAGCCCGUUGCGUAAUACCCUGUGGCGGACUGAGGUUCGCGCUCCGCAAGGAUGCUGGCGUAAUGGUCAUCAGCGACCCGUCUUGAAACACGGACCAAGGAGUCGUCUUCGUAUGCGAGUGUUCGGGUGUCAAACCCCUACGCGUAAUGAAAGUGAACGCAGGUGAGAGCUUCGGCGCAUCAUCGACCGAUCCUGAUGUUCUCGGAUGGAUUUGAGUAAGAGCAUACGGGGCCGGACCCGAAAGAAGGUGAACUAUGCCUGUAUAGGGUGAAGCCAGAGGAAACUCUGGUGGAGGCUCGCAGCGGUUCUGACGUGCAAAUCGAUCGUCAAAUAUGGGCAUGGGGGCGAAAGACUAAUCGAACCUUCUAGUAGCUGGUUUCCGCCGAAGUUUCCCUCAGGAUAGCAGUGUCGAACUCAGUUUUAUGAGGUAAAGCGAAUGAUUAGGGACUCGGGGGCGCUAUUUAGCCUUCAUCCAUUCUCAAACUUUAAAUAUGUAAGAAGCCCUUGUUGCUUAGUUGAACGUGGGCAUUCGAAUGUAUCGACACUAGUGGGCCAUUUUUGGUAAGCAGAACUGGCGAUGCGGGAUGAACCGAACGCGAGGUUAAGGUGCCAGAGUAGACGCUCAUCAGACACCACAAAAGGCGUUAGUACAUCUUGACAGCAGGACGGUGGCCAUGGAAGUCGGAAUCCGCUAAGGACUGUGUAACAACUCACCUGCCGAAUGUACUAGCCCUGAAAAUGGAUGGCGCUCAAGCGUCUCACCCAUACCUCGCCCUCAGGGUAGAAACGAUGCCCUGAGGAGUAGGCGGACGUGGGG
rnacentral:rRNA from 1 species